GUGGGGAAUAUUGCACAAUGGGCGCAAGCCUGAUGCAGCCAUGCCGCGUGUAUGAAGAAGGCCUUCGGGUUGUAAAGUACUUUCAGCGAGGAGGAAGGCAUUGUGGUUAAUAACCGCAGUGAUUGACGUUACUCGCAGAAGAAGCACCGGCUAACUCCGUGCCAGCAGCCGCGGUAAUACGGAGGGUGCAAGCGUUAAUCGGAAUUACUGGGCGUAAAGCGCACGCAGGCGGUCUGUCAAGUCGGAUGUGAAAUCCCCGGGCUCAACCUGGGAACUGCAUUCGAAACUGGCAGGCUAGAGUCUUGUAGAGGGGGGUAGAAUUCCAGGUGUAGCGGUGAAAUGCGUAGAGAUCUGGAGGAAUACCGGUGGCGAAGGCGGCCCCCUGGACAAAGACUGACGCUCAGGUGCGAAAGCGUGGGGAGCAAACAGGAUUAGAUACCCGGGUAGUCC
rnacentral:rRNA from 1 species